ensembl:lncRNA
GUGUUAAGACGACGCUCAUACAGAUGGGCUUGAACCCUGGCUGUGCCACUUAUUGGCUGUGUGACCCUGGAUCUGAUAUUUGACUUCAAAGAUGCCCGUUAACACCUUCACUCCGCCCUUAGCUUGAGCUACAGGCUUGGUGACCAGCAGGUGAAGAGCAGGAUGACUGGAAAGAGGUGGUCAGCAAGAUAGCUGGUGGGGCAAGUCACAAUGGAUUGGAGUCUGUUUCUUGGCCUGUACCAUGGAGCUGCUGCUGCUGCUGAGUUGCUUCAGUCGUGUCCGACUCAGUGUGACCCCAUAGACGGCAGCAUCAAGCCCCCUCCCUGGUCCUACACUUCAUGCUCCCUGUGGGCGUGUGCUUCAUACAAGCAUUGGUGCCGAUCAUGCUGGGCUAAGCUUGGCGACAAGGCACGUUCCUGCUUCCGCACAAUGACCACUCCUGCGGGCAGUGCAGCGUUGGGGGGCUCCUCUGAGGCACAGACAGAUGGAGGAAGAGGUCUGAGUUUUUAUUUCUGGCAUAGAUCUCCACAUUUAUGAAUCAGCUCUUGCUGAUUCACUUAGUGUGUUCACUAAGUGUGCCUCAAUCAGCUGGUGGCCUCAGAUAACCCUGUUCUUGAUGGUAAUGAGGCCACCCUGCGUUUUCUCUGUGAAUCACUGAGAUCCCAAACCAUCCAACAUCUGCAGAGCUUGAGCUGACAAGGCACUGCCUCCCCCGUUCCUCAUCUUUUCCAGAGCAAAACCCAAUUUGCCAUUGACUCUGCUCAUCAACUUUUGGAGAUAUCCAUAGGAGUGCUUGUUCCUAGAGAGCAAGUUUCAUGCUUUGCAGUAUCUUUCUCUCACACUCUUUAAUGGUGUUGAUAACAGGGAUUGAGUUCAAGCCUGUGUAAAAAGCGCUUACCAGGGCUCCGUUGGGUGCCAGGCCCUGAGGAUG